GAACACCCCUAUAGUGCAAAGAAAAAAGGGAAAUCAAACUUCAUCUUUUUUUCCAAGAUUGUCCUCUGCAAAGAACCUUCAUUUCAGAAACCCAGAAGUUUUCAAAACAACUGUGGGAAAGAGAGAUGAAUUUGCAGGCCUUCUGAACUCUACCCACAAACUCUCAAGAGAACCCACCCGCUGCAGCCUGUGGCUCCCAACUGUCCUGCCUACGCCCAACAGGGAACUGGGGAUCCGUAUUCCAGGGAACCCUCUGGAAACGUCACACUCAGUUAGCAGAUUCUUGAGGGCGGUAACUAUAGUUUUCAGAUCUUUGUGUCCUCUGUACCUGGACCAGGUAGAGACUUGAUAAAUAUCUGUAGUUGUUAAAUAAAUGAAAUGUUUAUCUUUGCUGAUCUCUUAAAAAUAAAUCAGUUUUACCUACUUGCCAUGCAA